UAAAAAAUGGGUCUCUCUUAUCUAUCUUCUUUAGAUUUCUCGUCAUUAUCGGAUGGUGAAAAUGAUAACGAUUUUCUUGAUGUACAAUAACAAGCAAUUACUCGUAUAUGUUCAAAUAGAAACCUCAUUAUUGCUGAGUACACUGAUCAACAUACUAAUCGAUGGGCACGUGGAGGUUGUAUUCCUGGGCAUAGAAACGUCAAUCGUGAUCGGGAAAGAGUUUAUGUAAAUCUCUUCAACGACUAUUUUUUCAAUAACCUACGUUACAAUGAAUAGAUGUUUCGUCGAUGAUUCCAAAUGUCCUGGAGUUUAUUCACUCGAAUACUAAUGGCGGUGAAAGGUCAUGACAACUAUUUUGUGCAAAAGACAAAUGGGCUAGGUAGACUCAGAUUGUCUAGUCUUCAAAAGGUAAUUGCAGUGUUUUGGAGGUGGGCGUAUGAAGUAGCAGCAAAUGCUACUAAUGAGUACAUUAAAAUAGAAGAAUCAAUAACUAUUGAAAAUUUGAAGAGAUUUUGUCAUGCUAUCAUAGAAAUAUUAGCAGAUCAAUAUUUGAAAUCACCUACUGCAAAUGGUGUUGAGAGACUACUCUACAUUGGUAAACAAAGUAGUUUUCCAGGGUUGUUGGACAGUCUAGAUUAUAUGCAUCGGAGAUGGAAAAAUUGUCCAAUGGCAUGGGCAGGACAAUUUACAAGUCGUAGACAAAUCAAUGAUAAAGAUGCUCACAU
rnacentral:lncRNA from 1 species